ACGAACGCUGGCGGCGUGCUUAACACAUGCAAGUCGAGCGGUAAGGCCCUUUCGGGGGUACACGAGCGGCGAACGGGUGAGUAACACGUGGGUGACCUGCCUUUAGCUCUGGGAUAAGCCUGGGAAACCGGGUCUAAUACCGGAUAUGACUCCGCGGCGCAUGUUGUGGGGUGGAAAGCCUUGUGCGGCUGGAGAUGGGCCCGCGGCCUAUCAGCUUGUUGGUGGGGUGAUGGCCUACCAAGGCGACGACGGGUAGCCGGCCUGAGAGGGCGACCGGCCACACUGGGACUGAGACACGGCCCAGACUCCUACGGGAGGCAGCAGUGGGGAAUCUUGCGCAAUGGGCGAAAGCCUGACGCAGCGACGCCGCGUGAGGGAUGACGGCCUCGGUU
rnacentral:rRNA from 1 species